rnacentral:rRNA from 1 species
UGGGGAAUAUUGGACAAUGGGCGGAAGCCUGAUCCAGCAAUACCGCGUGUGUGAAGAAGGCCUUCGGGUUGUAAAGCACUUUCAGUGGGGAGAAAGGGGUGUGCGAUAAUACCGUACAUCAUUGAUGUUACCCAAAGAAGAAGCACCGGCUAACUCUGUGCCAGCAGCCGCGGUAAUACAGAGGGUGCAAGCGUUAACGGAAUGACUGGGCGUAAAGCGUGUGUAGGUGGUUGGAUAAGUUAGAUGUGAAAUCCCCGGGCUUAACCUGGGAACUGCGUUUAAAACUGUUCAGCUAGAGUACUGUAGAGGAUAGUGGAAUUUCCAGUGUAGCGGUGAAAUGCGUAGAUAUUGGAAGGAACACCAGUGGCGAAGGUGACUAUCUGGAUAGAUACUGACACUGAGACACGAAAGCGUGGGGAGCAAACAGG